rnacentral:rRNA from 1 species
CCUACGGGAGGCAGCAGUGAGGAAUAUUGGUCAAUGGGCGAGAGCCUGAACCAGCCAAGUCGCGUGAAGGAUGACGGCCCUACGGGUUGUAAACUUCUUUUGUCAGGGAGCAAUUGGGCCCACGCGUGUGCUUAUCGGUAGUACCUGAAGAAAAAGCAUCGGCUAACUCCGUGCCCGCAGCCGCGGUAAUACGGAGGGUGCGAGCGUUCUCCGGAUUUAUUGGGUUAAAAGGGUGCGCAGGCGGGCUGUUAAGCCGGCGGUAAAAAUUCAGGGCUCAACCUUGUCGAGCCGUCGGAACUGGCAGUCUGGAGUGGGCGAGAAGUAUGCGGAAUGCGUGGUGUAGCGGUGAAAUGCAUAGAUAUCACGCAGAACGCCGAUUGCGAAGGCAGCAUACCGGCGCCGAACUGACGCUGAGGCACGAAAGCGUGGGGAUCGAACAGGAUUAGAUACCCCUGUAGUC